AGUUUCAUUGUGGCUUCAGAUACUGCCAGAAAAACAUUUUUGUGAUAGAAAAAUCUAAGAAAUAUGCAGGAUACAACACAUUUCGAGCUACAGAUAUGUGUAUUGUAAUAUUUAUGACACGUUUAUGUAACUUAGAUAUCAUUUAUUGAAGGUCAAUCUCUCGCUGAUAUAGCCGCACUAGGCGACGCACUCAGAAUCUCAGUCCCGCAGCUUACGGGUUAAGUUAGGUUAGGUUAGGUUAGGUUAGGUUAGGGUUUUGAACGUAUGUGCUACACCUUCUACACACAGCACAUAGGUACGUUAUAACUGUAUUGCAGCGACUAAGCCUGAUGGCCGAGCUUCCCAUAAAUCCCAGACAGGGGGGGGUACCUCUUUGGGCGACCGGUUAAUCUGGUAGCAGCAGGGAUCAUGUUUCUUAAUGGUCCCUCCAAGCGAGAAAAAUAAGGAAAAAUCGCCCCUCACGCAAACCAUUUCAUAAUAUAUAUCAAAGCAUUUGGGAUCAUGUUUCUUAAUGGUCCCUCCAAGCGAGAAAAAUGAGGAAAAAUCACCCCUCACGCAAACCAUUUCAUAAUAUAUAUCAAAGCAUUUGGGAUCAUGUUUCUUAAUGGUCCCUCCAAGCGAGAAAAAUGAGGAAAAAUCACCCCUCACACAAACCAUUUCAUAAUAUAUAUCAAAGCAUUUGGGAUCAGAUUAUGUAUCAUCUAUUUUGGGGGGUUUAUAUCAUGGCACAAAUUUGGCCCAUCGCUGCUACACGGUAAAGCCACAAAUUUGGCCCGUCGCUGCUACACGGUAAAGCCACAAAUUUGGCCCGUCGCUGCUACACGGUAAAGCCACAAAUUUGGCCCGUCGCUGCUACACGGUAAAGCCACAAAUUUGGCCCAUCACUGCUACACGGUAAAGCCACAAAUUUGGCCCAUCGCUGCUACACGGUAAAGCCACAGGCCCGUUAGGUUAGGAUAAGUUAGAUUAGGUUUGGUUAGGUUAGGAUAGGUUUGGUUAGGUUAGGAUAAGUUAGAUUAGGUUUGGUUAGGUUAGGAUAGGUUUGGUUAGGUUAGGAUAAGUUAGAUUAGGUUUGGUUAGGUUAGGAUAGGUUAGAUUAGGUUUGGUUAGGUUAGGAUAGGUUUGGUGAGGUUAGGAUAAGUUAGAUUAGGUUAGGAUAGGUUAGGAUAGGUUAGAUUAGGUUUGGUUAGGUUAGGAUAGGUUAGGAUAAGUUAGACUAGGUUUGGUUAGGUUAGGAUAGGUUUGGUUAGGUUAGGAUAGGUUUGGUUGGAUUAGGAUAUGACAGAUUAGGUUCGAUUAGCUUAGGAUAGGUUAGAUUAGGUUUGGUUAGGAUAGGAUAGUCUUCUCUAAUCCUCUCUUCUUUCUUUUCUUUAUUUCCUUCUUUCCUUCUCUUCUUUCUCUCUCUAUCACCUUUUCUAUUCACACGCAUAUAGGCACAUUCUAACAUUCUCUCUCUCUCUCUCUCUCUCUCUCUCUCUCUC